rnacentral:tRNA from 1 species
GGAGCGGUAGUUCAGUUGGUUAGAAUACCGGCCUGUCACGCCGGGGGUCGCGGGUUCGAGUACCGUCCGCUCCGCCA